AUUGAACGCUGGCGGCAGGCCUAACACAUGCAAGUCGAACGAGUGGCGGACGGGUGAGUAAUGUCUGGGAAACUGCCUGAUUGAGGGGGAUAACUACUGGAAACGGUAUCUAAUACCGCAUACCAUCAGAUGUGCCCAGAUUGGCUUAGCGUGUUGGUGGGGGAACGGCUUACCAAGGCGACGAUGCCUAGCUGGUCUGAGAGGAUGACCGGCCACCUUGGAACUGAGACACGGCCCAGACUCCUACGGGAGGCAGCAGUGGGGAAUAUUGCACAAUGGGCGCAAGCCUGAUGCAGCCAUGCCGCGUGUAUGAAGAAGGUCUUCGGGUUGUAAAGUACUGUCAGCGGGGAGGCGUUACCCGCAGAAGAAGCACCGGCUAACUCCGUGCCAGCAGCCGCGGUAAUUC
rnacentral:rRNA from 1 species